UUCAAACAGCGCAAGAGAAGAAUCUUCCAGAAAGAAUGCUGGCCCGGAGAAGUGAUUGAUGGUCCAUGAUGUUUGUCUACUACAUUUGUGCUGCUUUGUCUACCCAUUCAAAGGCUGUAUAGUGUUGGAGAAACAGAAGAGCGCCUCGAGGACAUGCGGAAAGCUCUACUGUCUGAUGUGAAGAAAAGGAACAACAGAGCGACAGUAAAGUUCAAAAUGGAGAAGGUGUUUGCAUACAGGAGACAUGAAGUUGUCCGUGACGCACCCAUGGUAGAGGACUUCAUGGCAAGAUGGCCUGCACUCUUUGAAGUCAUUGAGAUAAAUUACCCAUGCUUGUCUUAUUGUUGAUCGAUUGGGUAUGUUAUUUGGGAUUUGUUGGUGAAAGUAGAAUAUUAUUUUCCCUCAGCUUGACACACAAGUGAGCCAUAUUUAUAGUUAUCACCAUUUGUGCUGACUGCCUAGUUAUUUCUCUCCCUAUAGAGAACCCUCUAGUUUGCUGCUUGGUUGAUCACCUCCGGUCUAUUUUCCUUUUUGCAGUUUUUAAUCUAAUUUGUUUCAUUCCUAUUUUCAGAUCAAUGCUGAGUUUAAGAGAAUCACCACAACCCCACUCCAGUCCAAAUGUCUUUCUCAACUUGAUAUACACUCAGAUAACCUGCUGAAGUUGUUCGAAAGAAGAGUAGGAUUUUUUUCACGUACCAUACGGUCACGUAAGAAAACAGAAUACCAGCUGACUGCUUCUUCUCUAAAUAGUUAUUUGGGUCAUUGUCCUGUUGUAUGAGGAAAUUGGCUUCAAUUAAGCACCGUCCACAGGGUAUGGUGUUGCAAAAUGGAGUGAUAGCCUUCCUACUUCAAGAUCCCUUUUACCCUGUUCAAAA